UACGGGGGGGGCAAGCGUUGUUCGGAAUUACUGGGCGUAAAGGGCUCGUAGGCGGCCAACUAAGUCAGACGUGAAAUCCCUCGGCUUAACCGGGGAACUGCGUCUGAUACUGGAUGGCUUGAGUUUGGGAGAGGGACGCGGAAUUCCAGGUGUAGCGGUGAAAUGCGUAGAUAUCUGGAGGAACACCGGUGGCGAAGGCGGCUUCUUGGGCCGUACCUGACGCUGAGGCGCGAAAGCCAGGGGAGCGAACGGG
rnacentral:rRNA from 1 species